rnacentral:rRNA from 1 species
CCUACGGGGUGCUGCAGUGGGGAAUAUUGGACAAUGGGCGAAAGCCUGAUCCAGCCAUGCCGCGUGUGUGAAGAAGGCCUUCGGGUUGUAAAGCACUUUCAGUGGGGAAGAAAGCCUUGGGGCUAAUACCCUCGAGGAAGGACAUCACCCACAGAAGAAGCACCGGCUAACUCCGUGCCAGCAGCCGCGGUAAUACGGAGGGUGCGAGCGUUAAUCGGAAUUACUGGGCGUAAAGCGCGCGUAGGCGGUCUGAUAAGCCGGUUGUGAAAGCCCCGGGCUCAACCUGGGAACGGCAUCCGGAACUGUCAGGCUAGAGUGCAGGAGAGGAAGGUAGAAUUCCCGGUGUAGCGGUGAAAUGCGUAGAGAUCGGGAGGAAUACCAGUGGCGAAGGCGGCCUUCUGGACUGACACUGACGCUGAGGUGCGAAAGCGUGGGUAGCAAACAGGACUAGAUACCCGAGUAGUC